rnacentral:rRNA from 1 species
GACGAACGCUGGCGGCGUGCCUAAUACAUGCAAGUCGAGCGCAGGAAGUCGACGGAACCCUUCGGGGGGAAGUCGACGGAAUGAGCGGCGGACGGGUGAGUAACACGUAAAGAACCUGCCCUCAGGUCUGGGAUAACCACGAGAAAUCGGGGCUAAUACCGGAUGGGUCAUCGGACCGCAUGGCCUGAGGAUGAAAGGCGCUUCGGCGUCGCCUGGGGAUGGCUUUGCGGUGCAUUAGCUAGUUGGUGGGGUAAUGGCCCACCAAGGCGACGAUGCAUAGCCGACCUGAGAGGGUGAUCGGCCACACUGGGACUGAGACACGGCCCAGACUCCUACGGGAGGCAGCAGUAGGGAAUCUUCCACAAUGGACGAAAGUCUGAUGGAGCAACGCCGCGUGAACGAUGAAGGCCUUCGGGUCGUAAAGUUCUGUUGUGGGGGAAGAACAAGUGCCGCAGGCAAUGGCGGCACCUUGACGGUACCUUGCGAGAAAGCCACGGCUAACUACGUGCCAGCCGCCGCAGUAAAAC